GAGGGUAUAGCUCAGGGGUAGAGUGCAUGCCUAGCAUGCACAAGGUCCUGGGUUCGAUUCCCAGUACCUCCA
rnacentral:tRNA from 1 species